rnacentral:rRNA from 1 species
UCUGAGCUAAAAAAGGUAAUACACUCAUGGAAACCUAUGCUCUUUGGCGGCCUUAUUUCUUAUUAGAGGAACUUGUCCAAUAAUCGAAAUUACCCGCUUGUUUUCUCUUCAAUUUCGUCUUUAUACCGUCGUCUUAAGAAUAUUGUUAAAUAAAUUACUCCAAAAUGAUACAACCAGGAAAGUCAGAUCAAGGUGAAGCCUAUACUGAAGCCACGGGUGAGUUAUGUCUAAGCACUACUAAUGGACUUCUCUUUAAAAAGUUAUUCAAAUUAAGAUUUAACAGUACCUAAGAAUUAAAAAUUUUUAGGGGAGAGGUAAAAAAAGGUGU